CCUACGGGAGGCAGCAGUGGGGAAUAUUGGGCAAUGGGCGCAAGCCUGACCCAGCAACGCCGCGUGAAGGAAGAAGGCUUUCGGGUUGUAAACUUCUUUUAAGAGGGAAGAGCAGAAGCCGGUACCUCUUGAAUAAGCCACGGCUAACUACGUGCCAGCACCCGCGGUAAUACGUAGGUGGCAAGCGUUGUCCGGCUUUACUGGGGGGAAAGGGCGUGUAGCCGGGCUGAUAAGUCAGAUGUGAAAUCCCAUGGCUCAACCACGGAACUGCAUUUGAUACUAGCGGUCUUGAGUAUCAGAGAGGCAGGCGGAAUUCCUAGUGUAGCGGUGAAAUGCGUAGAUAUUAGGAGGAACACCAGAGGCGAAGGCGGCCUGCUGGACGGCAACUGACGGUGAGGCGCGAAAGCGUGGGGAGCAAACAGGAUUAGAUACCCGGGUAGUC
rnacentral:rRNA from 1 species